rnacentral:rRNA from 1 species
GUAGGGGGCGAGCGUUGUCCGGAUUUAUUGGGCGUAAAGAGCUCGUAGGCGGCUCAGCAAGUCGGCCGUGAAAGCCUGAGGCUCAACCUCAGGACGCCGGUCGAAACUGCUGUGGCUAGGGUUCGGUAGAGGAGAGUGGAAUUCCCGGUGUAGCGGUGAAAUGCGCAGAUAUCGGGAGGAACACCAGUAGCGAAGGCGGCUCUCUGGGCCGAUACCGACGCUGAGGAGCGAAAGCUAGGGGAGCGAACAGGGAUUAGAUACCCUGGUAGUCCUAGCUGUAAACGUUGGGCACUAGGUGUGGCGGACUCAUUGACGUCUGCCGUGCCGAAGCUAACGCAUUAAGUGCCCCCGCCCUGGGAGUACGGUCGCAAGGCUA